CCUACGGGUGGCAGCAGUGAGGAAUAUUGGUCAAUGGGCGGGAGCCUGAACCAGCCAAGUCGCGUGCGGGAUGACGGCCCUAUGGGUUGUAAACCUCUUUUGCCGGGGAGCAAAGUGCCGCACGUGUGCGGUUUGGAGAGUACCCGGAGAAAAAGCAUCGGCUAACUCCGUGCCAGCAGCCGCGGUAAUACGGAGGAUGCGAGCGUUCUCCGGAUUUAUUGGGUUUAAAGGGUGCGCAGGCGGUCUGUUAAGUCAGCGGUCAAAGCCCGGGGCUCAACCCCGGCCCGCCGUUGAAACUGGCAGUCUCGAGUUGGAGAGAAGUAUGCGGAAUGCGCGGUGUAGCGGUGAAAUGCAUAGAUAUCGCGCAGAACUCCGAUUGCGAAGGCAGCAUGCCGGCUCCACACUGACGCUGAGGCACGAAAGCGUGGGUAUCGAACAGGAUUAGAUACCCUAGUAGUC
rnacentral:rRNA from 1 species